rnacentral:rRNA from 1 species
GACGAACGCUGGCGGCGUGCUUGACACAUGCAAGUCGAACGGAAAGGCCUGCUUUCCCUUGUGGAUUGCGGGUACUCGAGUGGCGAACGGGUGAGUAACACGUGAGUGAUCUGCCCCCAACUUGGGUAUAAGCCUGGGAAACUGGGUCUAAUUCCCGAUAGGACUGCAGGGUGGUGCCUGUGGUGGAAAACGAUUUUCUAGUGGUUGGGGAUGAGCUCGCGGCCUAUCAGCUUGUUGGUGGGGUAAUGGCCUACCAAGGCGGCGACGGGUAGCCGGCCUGAGAGGGUGGACGGCCGCAUUGGGACUGGGAUACGGCCCAGACGCCUACGGGAGGCAGCAGUGGGGAAUAUUGCACAAUGGGCGGAAGCCUGAUGCAGCGACGCCGCGUGGGGGAUGACGGCCUUCGGGUUGUAAACUCCUUUCGACCGCGAGGAAGCCACCUGGUUGGAAGGGUGGUGACGGUAGUGGUAGAAGAAGCACCGGCUAACUACGUG